CGGACAGUCGUGAUAACCCGGCACAGAAGCAGAGUCGCAUUUCGGAGCGUCCACUCGUAACACGGCUUCUCGCACACGAAGCCCAUAGUCCAGGGGAGAGAAGGCCAGGGCGGCCCUGGAGAGUUUGUAGGUGCAGGCUGAUCGGCGGUGGAGACCCUGUCGGGCUCAGGAAGGCACUGUUCUUUCAUCAUUUCCUUCCCAGCAUGCACUUGUACAUGCUGUACACUCCACUCUCUUCAUUACCACAACAGGACUACAAAAUCUUUAGAGGAUGAACAGCCAAACAAGGUGACUUACCGCCUGCCAGGAGAGCUUAUUAAAGGAUUUCAUUUCUUGAGCAUCCAGCUCUGUGUCCUGGGGCCUUUGCAAACCAACUCAGCACUACAGAAAAACAAGUCCACCAAUGAAAUGCUUUGAAAGCUGUGAUGGCAAGCUGGGAAAAACAGUGGCUCUUACAGUUAACCAUGGCAUAGGAAGGUCACCUUUUCAUCCUAGUGCUAACACCCAGCUGGAGUGGCAGUAUUACUGGAAUAAAAUCCUGAAAGGAAAAGCAGCUGUGCAGUUUCAUUAGGCAUCGGGUCAACGA
rnacentral:lncRNA from 1 species